rnacentral:lncRNA from 1 species
CUUCCUAGCUCCCUGUGUAUACUACGCAGAUCCCAUAGAAGCAUGGGGCCAAGGAUUGGUGGCACCAACUGAGGUGACAUUCUCUGCCAAUGUCAGCUUGAUUUAGAUGUCACUGAAUCAAGCUGCUUCCGCCCUGUGUUCCUGUGAAUCUGCUCUUGGCUGGCUUUCUCUGGUGUUGCCUGCUUGCUUGCUUGCUUUGUUGCUUUGGAAGGCUAUCCAAGAUAUGUAAGCAAUUCUUUAGGAAAUAAAUUGCUGUUAACCCAAACAAACAAAAACACUGCAGACGAGAUGGGUAAAGGCGAGCAGUGGGGGCGUGACUAGGACAGAUGGCUAGGGUCUACAUGAACUGGGGAAUUCUUUAUGAAAUAUGUCAGACUUUGUGAUCAAAUGAUGUGAUAUAAGAAUUGUAUAAAGGGA